GGCCCUGCAUGUCUGUGAAUACAUUUCAAGUGUUUUGUCUCAAACCAACAGAAAGGAAAAUGAUAUUUUGGCUUCAAUUUGUUUUCUUUUUAGCAGUCUUCACAGGUGUGCAAUCACAGGUCCAGCUGGUGGAGUCUGGAGGGGAUGUCAAAAGGCCAGGAGAGUCCCUCCGCCUCACCUGUCGGGCCUCCGGGUUCACCUUCAGCAGCUAUGGCAUGCACUGGGUGACACAAGCAUCUGGAAAAGGCUUGGAAUGGGUGGCAUAUAUAAACAAUGGAGGCACACAAUAUUAUCCUGACAAGGUGAAAGGGCGCUUCACCAUCUCCAGGGACAAUACAAACAGCCUGCUGUAUUUGCAAAUGAACAAUCUGAAACCUGAAGACACAGCGAUGUAUUACUGUGCAAGAUACACAGUGAGGGGAAGUGAAUCGGAAGCCUGGCAAAAACUCCCAUUGCUCAUGCAUGUCUUCAAGCUGGCUGAAAUGCAAGAGUUUGAAUGA